CUGGCCCACAGACUACAGGUAGGAGAGAGACUGGCCCACAGACUACAGGUAGGAGAGAGACUGGCCCACAGACUACAGGUAGGAGAGAGACUGGCCCACAGACUACAGGUAGGAGAGAGACUGGCCCACAGACUACAGGUAGGAGUGAGACUGGCCCACAGACUACAGGUAGGAGGAGACUGGCCCACAGACUACAGGUAGGAAAGAGACUGGCCCACAGACUACAGGUAGGAGAGAGACUGGCCCACAGACUACAGGUAGGAGAGAGGGAGGCAGAACGGAGAGUGACGGCGGAAAAAAAAGCACCACAAUGACAGUGUGAAGAAAAAAAAAAGAGAAGUUGUUUGAUUUCUGUCCUGUCAAAUGAUUGCAACAUGAUUGUCACAGCUCUUGAAAAAGGAUGUUUCUUCUUCCUCAUCCAUCCAUCUCUGUCUGUCUGUCUCUGUCUCUGUCUCUGUC